rnacentral:rRNA from 1 species
CAGCACCUCAAGUGGUCAGGAUGAUUAUUGGGCCUAAAGCAUCCGUAGCCUGUUCUGUAAGUUUCCGGUUAAAUCCAUUAGCUCAACUAAUGGGCCGCCGAAAAUACUGCAGAACUAGGGAGUGGGAGAGGUAGACGGUACUCGGUAGGAAGGGGUAAAAUCCUUUGAUCUAUUGAUGACCACCUGUGGCGAAGGCGGUCUACCAGAACACGUUCGACGGUGAGGGAUGAAAGCUGGGGGAGCAAACCGGAUUAGAUACCCGAGUAGUCC